rnacentral:rRNA from 1 species
UACAGAGGGUGCGAGCGUUGUCCGGAAUCACUGGGCGUAAAGGGCGCGUAGGUGGCGACCCAAGUCGAUGGUGAAAGCUCGCCGCUCAACGGCGAGUCGGCCACCGAUACUGGGUUGCUUGAGCACUGUAGAGGCUAAUGGAAUUCCGGGUGUAGCGGUGGAAUGCGUAGAGAUCCGGAAGAACACCGGUGGCGAAGGCGGUUAGCUGGGCAGUUGCUGACACUGAGGCGCGACAGCGUGGGGAGCAAACAGG